UGGGGAAUAUUGCACAAUGGGCGGAAGCCUGAUGCAGCGACGCCGCGUGGGGGAUGAAGGCCUUCGGGUUGUAAACUCCUUUCGCUAGGGACGAAGCUUUUUGUGACGGUACCUAGAUAAGAAGCACCGGCUAACUACGUGCCAGCAGCCGCGGUAAUACGGAGGGUGCGAGCGUUAAUCGGAAUAACUGGGCGUAAAGGGCACGCAGGCGGUUAUUUAAGUGAGGUGUGAAAGCCCCGGGCUUAACCUGGGAAUUGCAUUUCAGACUGGGUAACUAGAGUACUUUAGGGAGGGGUAGAAUUCCACGUGUAGCGGUGAAAUGCGUAGAGAUGUGGAGGAAUACCGAAGGCGAAGGCAGCCCCUUGGGAAUGUACUGACGCUCAUGUGCGAAAGCGUGGGGAGCAAACAGGAUUAGAUACCCUGGUAGUCCACGCUGUAAACGCUGUCGAUUUGGGGGUUGGGGUUUAACUCUGGCGCCCGUAGCUAACGUGAUAAAUCGACCGCCUGGGGAGUACGGCCGCAAGGUUA
rnacentral:rRNA from 1 species